rnacentral:rRNA from 1 species
CAUCCUCCAAGGCUAAAUACUCCUGACUGACCGAUAGUGAACCAGUACCGUGAGGGAAAGGCGAAAAGAACCCCGGCGAGGGGAGUGAAAAAGAACCUGAAACCGUGUACGUACAAGCAGUGGGAGCCCCACCACUAAGCCAGUGGUGAACUCCACAUACGCAUCCUUUGCUGAGGAUACGGUUAACGGAGCGAAAGCGACGUUCAACCUCAAAAGAAGCAGAGGGGGCUUAGUGGUGGGGUGACUGCGUACCUUUUGUAUAAUGGGUCAGCGACUUAUAUUCUGUAGCAAGGUUAACCGAAUAGGGGAGCCGGAGGGAAACCGAGUCUUAACCGGGCGUUAAGUUGCAGGGUAUAGACCCGAAACCCGGUGAUCUAGCCAUGGGCAGGUUGAAGGUUGGGUAACACUAACUGGAGGACCGAACCGACUAAUGUUGAAAAAUUAGCGGAUGACCUGUGGCU